CAAGCAAACAGGGGAAAGUUAUUACAUACGUGUGUAUCAAUAUGUGAAGACCCUAGAGAUGUCCCCUACUCGGCUCAAUCCAGAUGGUUGUGGUGCUGGUCCACUGGGGAGACCAUGCUUACACUGCAGCCGUAAUGCCGGACAGAAGGGGAGUCACACCAACAUAUGGAAAGAAGUGUAAAUGGAUGGAGAAGCAUAGUUUACUGUAAAGCUACGUCUUAGUUUGUGCUAAUCUUGGCGAAAGCCGAGUACAAAUCUGCAUGAAGUUUUAACAUCUACUCUCGUGUAAUGGAAAUCAUGUGCAAAAUAACUUUUAACUAGAUUAAUUAAAGAUAGUGUUUCAGUUGUCUUUGAGGUUAAUUAAAACACAUACUUACUGUACAAAGGCAAAGACGCUGUGUAAAAUGGGCCUGGGCUCUGAAAAGAGCCUUUGGGGUGUAUGUAGCUCCUGUUGAGAAAAAGAAGAAACAUGAAAAGGAGUCAAAUAUAUUGCAAAUGCCUUUGUGAAUUAAUGUGCACUCAAUUUAUCUUUAUUGACUAAAACAGUAUGUUAAGAACAUGGCAAAUCAGAACUGUAUGAUGACUUCUAGAUCGAUCACUUACAAAAA